rnacentral:lncRNA from 1 species
CGGGUUAACAGCUCGGUAGGAAAUUUGAGAAGGAUCCCAGUUCCCUCGGGAUCACUGUCCCGGGAGCGCUGCAGUCUGGUUCCCUCCUCAGCUUCUCAGCUGCGAGGCUUCCAGCUGCUGCCCUCGAAGCUCACCCUGCUCUGUCCUACUGCCCACAGACUCAACAAUUCCCUCUUGCUGCCUCUCAGGCUGCUGCUGCCUCCUGCCAAGCCCAGGCUGCAUCCCGGAGACCAGGAGCAGCGAUCUGUCUGUCUGUCCGCCGGACACACAACCACACAGCACUUUGCAGUCGCAGUACCAGUUUUUGCUCAUGUUGCCCAGAAAUGCCAGGUGCCAACCUCUCCUUCCCUCUCGCAGUUCCAGGAGGAGCAGCGCCGCCGGGAGAUCGAGGAGCGCCGGAGGUUUCCGCUGGAGCAGCGGCUGAAGGAGCACAUCAUCGGGCAGGAGAGCGCGAUAGCCACGGUGGGAGCAGGGUGGCCCAGGGGUUGCAGCUGGCCUCCAGGGGUUGCGCCGCUCACCGUUAGCAUCUGCAGUCAGCUGCUGGCUGAAAUACGGUGCCUGAACACCACGACACUUGAACAUCUUUUUCCCAGGACCAUUUGUCUUAAGAAUGUUGUUCAUUAAUAAUUCACGAGCAGUUCGGUACAGCUCUGUGUGCAUAAACACCUCGCACACAGCCUGCUCGGGGAACCUUUCUGUGUUCCUUACAGAUGUGGGACCGGGCUCCACGCAAAAUAUAAGCACGUAGCUCGGUCACACUUCCCUGUCCAUCACCUCAAAGGCCAUUUUAGCCCCGUGUCCUGCCAGCAGAGUGCAGAAACCAUCAGGAAGACAAACAGAGGGGUAUUGCCCUGCUCUGCUCCCCCCACAUCCAACAAUUUGCAACCAGGAGCUCUUCCCACCUCCAUCCUUCUGGGGGUGUUGCUCGGUAAAUACUGACGAUAACACUAAAGCAAAACUGUUGUCAGCAGCGUGUCCCUGCUCAGUCCGAGAGCCCUGGGGGCACAUCACCAUCCCCUGCCGGGAGCAGGAUUAGCUCACAGGGCACACCACCAGCCUGUGCUUUAAAGCUGGGUGACUUACAUCCCUUACCUCUGGCCAGGAGUGAUUUAAUCGCCCGGUGUUCCCUUCUCCGCACCGACUCCCACC